GUCGAGCGAGAAAGUGGGGCAACCCAUGAGUACAGCGGCGUACGGGUGAGUAACACGUGGGUAAUCUACCUUCUAGUGUGGAAUAACCCUGGGAAACCGGGGCUAAUACCGCAUAAGCCUGUGAAGGGAAAGCAGCAAUGCGCUGGAAGAUGAGCCCGCGGCCGAUUAGCUAGUUGGUGAGGUAACGGCCCACCAAGGCGAUGAUCGGUAGCCGGCCUGAGAGGGCACACGGCCACACUGGCACUGAAACACGGGCCAGACUCCUACGGGAGGCAGCAGUGGGGAAUCUUGCACAAUGGAGGCAACUCUGAUGCAGCGACGCCGCGUGAGCGAUGAAGCCCUUCGGGGUGUAAAGCUCUUUCGGCAGGGACGAUAAUGACGGUACCUGAAGAAGAAGCUGCGGCUAACUACGUGCCAGCAGCCGCGGUAAUACGUAGGCAGCGAGCGUUGUUCGGAAUUACUGGGCGUAAAGAGUGUGUAGGCGGUGCUCUAAGUUCGGUGUGANAUCUCCCGGCUUAACUGGGAGGGUGCGCCGGAAACUGGGAGUGCUCGAGCGUGGGGGAGGAAAGCGGAAUUCCUGGUGUAGCG
rnacentral:rRNA from 1 species